CAUAGCAGUAUUCAUCUUCCUCUCUCUGUUUCACGUUUCCAAACACAACUCCAUGAAAAACAAAAACAAAAAUUCCUCACGAAUUUUGCAAAACAAAAUCAAAACACAAAAUUAUCUACACAAACCCUCUCCAAAAUGUGUCCUUCAUCACAAAUAUAACCAUGAAAUCACAAAAAAGAAAUGAUACACGAAUCAGAUCGGAACACCCAAAACGAACCCUAACCUAACAAAAAUCCUUCAGUCGACUCAAGUUUCACACAAUCAAACAUGGCUAGCAACAUGGAAUCAUAUUUCAAAAGGAAAUUUAUAACAAAAUGCAAGGUAAGAGCGACUUAUUACCAAUUCGAAAGUUGUCGUUCCCAAUCCGAAAGUUAUUGGAACGACGAUUCCUUGAGGACAAAAUGGGUUUUCUGCUCAGAAAAGCAGAUGCAGCAGAAGAUGUAAAGAUAGUCAUUUUGUGUUAUUUUGGGUUACUGCAAAAGUAAACAUGUUGUAAACUUUGAUAUGUUUUGAAAUGUUUCUUUGUUAAGUUGGUUUUA